GAAUUAGAUACGCCACUGGCUGAAUCAUGCCUUAUGAAACAUAAUUACAUACAGCCCAAACCUAAUGUGAUUUGCAUUUUCUGAUCUUUUCCUUAGACACAGUCAUUGAAAUUAAUGAGGAGGAACCUAGUAGUCUUAGUGAAGUAAACCUUAUGCAUUAUUAAGAAUCUCUCAUCCCUGUUUAUUGAGGAGCCAUUGGCAGACUGAUAUUGUAGAAAAUAAAGAGAGGCUUCAGCCCGUUGGAGAGGGAGUAUAGGAAAUCAGCUCUCUCUUUUAAUGCUGCUUUGUGGAAGUGUUUGGGAGAAAAAAAAAUAACAGAUACUUGACUGUUAUAACUUACUAACUAUAGUAAAGAUAGUUACUUCUAGGGAGAAGAACUUAGGUGGUUUCCACUGGAUUAAAAAACAACCUUAUUUCUCUGCUUUCCUCCAAAUCCCCACAUAACAACAAAAACCUAACUUGUGAAAGAUCUUAAGCUCUUACUGUUUUUAAGUAGAACUUGGAUUUUCAGAUAUUUUUUAAGUUCGUAAAGCUGUUUCUUCUGACAAUAAUAGAGAUAAAUAGAGCAUUCAUACUCAAAUCCUUGUUGGUUUGGAAUUUCAAGCAAGGAUGUGAAGACAGAAGCACUCUACGAGCACUGGAAGUAUCUGGGAUACUUGUGCCUGCUUAUCGUUUUUGUUUUUUUAGGUUUCUUUCAAAAUGAAGAUUCACGCAGUGAUUGUAACUGUCUUGAUGAGCCAGGUUGUAGUUUACAAAGUUUUAUUCCAGAAGGAAAAAAGCCACUUCACCUAGAAAUUUUGCAAACAAAUCAACUUUUACUCUGUGAGUAAUCCAGGGCCUAUCAAGACUACAUUUUAGUUGACUGCAAGGCCUCUGAGGCACGGGAAUUCACAGCUGAGUUCUUGGAGAAGGUCCUUGAGCCAUCUGGAUGGCGGACAGUCUGGCACAUGAUGUGCUCAAGGUGCUGCUUGAGGCCACAGAUGUGGACAUUUCAGCCUUGAAGGCAGUGGUGCAGCUUGCUGAGCCAUACCUCUGUGAAUCUUGAGCGAGUACUUUCACCUUGGAGUGUGUGAAAGAGCUCCUCGAGCUGAAGGAACAUCAGUUGCCCCUGAAGGAGCUGGGUGGUGUUUGAUGAUUCUGGAGACAGCACUUGUAACUUGUAACUGAGCAUGUCAGCUAGGAAGGAUAGCCACUGAGCAAGCCUGUAAGGCUAUUGGUCUGCCCAUUCUGGUUUCUUCACCAAUGAGAAAACUGGGACCUGGGGAGUUUGCAGAAGCCAUCCAAGGGCACCUGCUUCUCACAGCACAGCAGCUUCCUGCAGCCCUCCCUCCUGUCUUGUUUCUCCCUUAAUUGAGAGGAGAGGCCAGAACCAGAUGCAGGCAGUUCCAACAGUAAUGAAUUGCUCUAAGGUGUGGAUCCAAGAACCGGUGACAAGGUCAGGAAAUUCCAUCCCGGGACACUGACCCAACUAAGAGACUGUGCAUGAUGGCUAAGUUCAGAGCUCUGAGGAGAUGGUAAAACUCAUUUGCAACGAAACAAGAUAUUUUCCAACUCUGCAGCCAGGUGCAGAAAGCUGGAAGUGAUGCUCCAGGGAGUUUAUGUCUCCCCAUCUUGACCCACACCAAUACCUGAGGCUCGUUGCUUUGAUUCAAGUCCGGACAAGCUCUAAGGUUCAGCUCACACUGGGAGUCACGCUGCAGGAGCUCCUGGGAGUCUGUGAACGGUGGUGAUGCAGAAAAGCAAAGCGUGUAUAUCUGUUUUAGUCCUCCCUCAGAUCUGCUGAGGACACCUUGAGCCUGAAGUGAAAUCACAGUGGCUCUCAGGAAGAAGGGUGACUGUCUGGUGUGCAGUUGUGCUGCCACGGCAAAGGGAACUUUAAAACAUAGAACUGCCAUGUAGAAGCUCAGGAAAUAUCCAUGGUCUGUCAUCUCUUUUGGUCAUAGAAUCAAAAAAAAUGGAAGACGAGAAAAGGCAGUGAAGACUGACAGCCUGUUGGUUGCUAUUCCAGUCGUGUCUGCUCCAUACGCGCCCUCCAUCUCAUCCCACCCAGUCAGUAUAUUUUCACCAGGCAGUGUUGCAGAAAUGUCUGUGGACUCCAGUUCUAUUGCAGUCAGGCAGCAUUUACAGGUUUGACUUUCAACUGACCAUGGCAGGAAGUCUAGAGGCAAUUAUAGCCAACACCUGCUCUAUGUGCGUGCCGGGCAGGUGGUGGCUGAUUCCUUGCCUCCAAUCCAUGAUGUGUUUCCUAUCAGCUCAGAAUAAUAACAGUGACACCUCUGCUUCUUCUCUGUCUGGGGGAGCUCAAGGCACUUUACUCUGAAAACCCUCAAAUUACUGGCAUUUCUUUUAGUGAAGAUAUCAAAUUAAUGACUGAAAAAAAUGUAGAAGAUGGUUAUUGGUGAUGUUAAAAGACAAGUUUAACCCACUUCCACACAACAUGUCUUACAAGCGUAAAGUAUUUGAGUAGAGAAAACUAUGAAUCUAAAAUUGAACAAGAUGUGAAUUUAGACAGACAGCGUUUGUGGUCACAGAUGUGCCGAGAUGAAGACUGGAGGAAGGGCACAGUUUCUGUAGCAGUGACUUCCACCCAGGGUGUGUCUUGCUAUUGUGUGAAAUGAUUUUUGACACUGGACAAAUCUCUACUUCCACUUACAAUGUUUUGCCAGCUAGCUGAGGCAUUCUGGGAGGGUGAGGAGCCUGGGCUUGGGCUGACCUCAGGAAAUCCUGUGUAAAGGGCUUUUGCACACUCAGAAGCAGGCCAGGUUCACCGCUGUUAUGUGCAAUAUUCACUCCUGGCUCUUGCUUCUGAGCCUUGGCAAACCUGAGUCCUAAGAGGCCAAUGAAAAGGAAAACACGUUAAGGAGCCAGGGCGCUUCUUGGAUAUCAGCCUGAAUAGUUCUGUUUCAUCUGGACCCCAAUUUUACUCUCCUGCUGUUUUACACGGAACUAAAAAGAGCUUUACAGAGGACCAGAUAGACUGCAGGUCCCUAGGCAGUCAGGGGCCAGGCAAGGCAUAGGAGGGUGUCAGGCCUCUGAGCUCAAACUAGGCCAUCAUAUCCCCUGUGACCUGCACGUACACAUCCAGAUGGCUGGUUCCUGCCUUAACUGAUGGCAUUGUCUUGUGAAAUUCCUUCUCCUGGCUCAUCCUGGCUCAAGAGCUCCCCUACUGAGCACGUUGUGACCCCCACUCCUGCCUGCCAGAGAACAACCCCCCUUUGACUGUAAUUUUCCUUUACCUACCCAAAUCCUAUAAAAUGGCCCCACCCCUAUCUCCCUUCACUAACUCUCUUUUCGGACUCAGCCUGCCUGCACCCAGGUGAAAUAAACAGCCUUGUUGCUCACACAAAGCCUGUUUGGUGGUCUCUUCACAGGGACUCGCAUGAAAUUUGGUGCUGUGGCUCGGAUAGGGGGACCUCCCUCGGGAGAUCAAUCCCCUGUCCUCCUGCUCUUUGCUCCAUGAGAAAGAUCCACCUACGACCUCAGGUCCUCAGACCAAGCAGCCCAAGAAACAUCUCACCAAUUUCAAAUCUGGAAAGCAGCCUCUUUUUACUCUCUUCUCCAACCUCCCUCAAUAUCCCUCAACCUCUUUCUCUUUUCAAUCUUGGUGCCACACUUCAAUCUCUCCCUUCUCUUAAUUUCAAUUCGUUUCAUUUUCUGGUAGAGACAAAGGAGACACGUUUUAUCUGUGGACCCAAAACUCCGGCGCCGGUCACGGCCUGGGAAGGCAGCCUUCCCUUGGUGUUAAUCAUUGCAGGGAUGCCUCUCUGAUUAUUCACCCACGUUUCAGAGGUGUCGGACCACACAGGGACGCCUGCCUUGGUCCUUCACCCUUAGUGGCAAGUCCUGCUUUUCUGGGGGAGGGGCAAGAACCCCAACCCCUUCUCUCCAUGUCUCUACCUCUUCUCUGCUUUUCUGGGGGAGGGGCAAGAACCCCUCAACCCCUUCUCCUUCACCCUUAAUGGCAAGUCCCACUUUUCUGGGGGAGGGGCAAGAACCCCUCAACAUCUUGUCCUUCACUGUUAGCAGCAAGUCUCACUUUUCUGGGGGAGGGGCAAGAACCCCUCAAACCCUUGUCCUUCACCGUCAGCAGCAAGUCCCGCUUUUCUGGGAGAGGGGCAAGAACCUCUCAACCCCUUCUCCUUCACCCUUAGAGGCAAGUCCCGCUUUUCUGGGGGAGAGGCAAGAACCCCUUAUUUCCACAGCCCGACCUCUUAUCUCUGUGCCCUGAUCCCUUAUUUCUGUGCCCUGACCUCUUAUCUCUGCACCCCAACCCCUUAUUUCUGCACCCCCACCUCUUUCCCACUUUUCUGGAGGGUAAGAACCCCCGAACCCCUUCCCUCCAUGUCUCUACUCUCUCUUUUCUCUAGCCUUGCUUCCUUCACUAUGGGCAACCUUCCACCCUCCAUUCCUCCUUCUUCUCCCUUAGCCUGUGUUCUCAAGAACUUAAAACCUCUUCAACUCACACCUGACCUAAAACCUAAAUGCCUUAUUUUCUUCUGCAAUGCCGCUUGAUCCCAAUACAAACUUGGCAGUAGUUCCGAAUAGCCGGAAAACAGCACUUUCAAUUUUUCCAUCCUACAAGAUCUAAAUAAUUCUUGUCGUAAAAUAGGCAAACAGUCUGAGGUGCUGACGUCCAGGCAUUCUUUUACACAUUGGUCCCUCCCUAGUCUCUGUUCCCAAUGCAACUCGUCCCAAAUCUUCCUUCUUUCCCUCCCACCUGUCCCCUCAGUCCCAACCCCAAGUGUCGCUGAGUCUUUCUAAUCUUCCUUUUCUACAGACCCAUCUGACCUCUCCCCUCCUCUCCAGGCUGAGCUAGGUCCCAAUUCCUCCUCAGCUUCCGCUCCUCCACCCUGUAAUCCUUUUAUCACCUCGCCUCCUCACACCCAGUCCGGCUUACAGUUUCGUUCCUUGACUAGCCCUCCCCCACCUGCCCAGCAAUUUACUCUUAAAAAGGUGGAUGGAGCUAAAAGCAUAGUCAAGGUUAAUGCUCCUUUUUCUUUAUCCCAAAUCAGACAGCGUUUAGGCUCUUUUUCAUCAAAUAUAAAAAUCCAGCCCAGUUCAUGGCUCGUUUGGCAGCAACCCUGAAAUGCUUUACAGCCCUAGACCCUAAAAGGUCAAAAGGCCAUCUUAUUCUCAAUAUACAUUUUAUUACCCAAUCUGCUCCCGACAUUAAAUAAAACUUCAAAGAUUAAAUUCCAGCCCUCAAACCCCACAACAGGAUUUAAUUAACCUUGCCUUCAAGGUGUACAAUAAUAGAGUAGAGGCAGCCAAGUAGUAACAUAUUUCUGAGUUGCAAUUCCUUGUCUCCACCAUGAGACAAACCCCAGCCACAUCUCCAGCACACAAGAAUUUCCAAAUGCCUAAACCGCAGUGGCCAGGCAUUCCUCCAGCACCACCUCCCCCAGAAGCUUGCUACAAGUGCCAGAAAUCUGGCCACCAGGCCAAGGAAUGCCCGCAGCCCGGGAUUCCUCCUAAGCCAUGUCCCAUCUGUGGGGGACCCCACUGGAAAUCGGACUGUUCAACUCACCUGGCAGCCACUCCCAGAGCCCCUGGAACUCUGGCCCAAGGCUGUCUGACUGACUUCUUCCCAGAUCUUCUCGGCUUAGUGGCUGAAGACUGACAUGCCCGAUCGCCUCAGAAGCCCGAUAGACCAUCAUGGAUGCCGAGCUUUAGGUAACUCUCACAGUGGAGGGGAGAAACGCGAAUGGAUGCGAGGUGGUGCAAAAUCCACAAAGGAGCUCCAGGGGACGUGGCAGGAUCCCUCUGCUAUGACUGUGCUGCAUAAGAGUCUGAGCCCACGCCAACCUAGAGUGAUUCUAAAGACCAUUUCCACAUGGAGAAGCUGCCAGAACAAGCACUGCUACCCUUGGAGGCCAUUGACAUUGUGAGGUCGCUGGGACUGAAAGGAGGUUGACCAGAAGUUCUGUUUGGCAAUGCAAAGCCAGGAGGAAAAGUUAAUGGAGUUUGUCCCCCGGGUCCCAAGAAAGCUGACCCAGGACGAUGAAGCUAGAAUUUGUGUUCUAGGAGGUGCUGCUUCUUCCAGGAAAGUCUACUCAAAGCACACACUGUGAGCUGCUGCAUGUCUCUUGAGCUAGUUCACUGCAGUUUUCAUGAUGAAAGUGAUCUGUUUCAGUAAACUUUCUGUUAUUUGAGAGCAUGGGAAAAAUAUUUGCUGUGAUUUCCCAAUUCCCCAUUUUUUCUGAUUCUUUGUUGCAGUUUCCACAACUUUGUUAUCAGGCUGUGACAGAGGUUUGUGAACUGAUGAAAGCUCCAGAGCCUCCCAGGCCCUCUGAGUCUGAUGCCUGCACUCCACAAUCAGGCCUCAAGCUCAGGGCGCCUGCCACCAACCCACGCUGGGCUUCAGGGGCAGGCAGCACUUGAAUGGGGUUUGGUUAUUGUCUUUCUUUAUUUUCUCUUAUUUUAAGCCUUAAAAAAAAAAAGAUAAGGUCUUGCUCUAUUGCCCAGGCUGGAGAGAAAUGGUGUGAUCAUAGCUCACUGCAGCUUUGAAUUCCUGGGUUCAACCGAUCCUCCCACCUAAGCCUCCCGAGUAACCAGGACUGCAAGUAUGCACCACCACACCCAGUUAAUUAAAUUUGUGUGUGUGUGUGUGUGUAGAGGUGGGUUCUUGCUUUGUUGCCCAGGCUGGUCUUGAACUCUUGAGUUCAGACAAUCCUGCCACCUCAACCUCACAAAGUGCUGGAAUUACAGGCGUGAGCCACUGCACUCAGCCUCCUUAAGCCAUUUGCUUAAGUGGCUUUAUUGCAAAACAAUAUCAGAAUAACAAAGAAAUAUAAGGUCAAACUUUCCCUGUUCCCAUCUAGUCCAAUAAGCAUUGCUGCUCUUGCCAGGGAUUCUCGCCCAUCUCCAUGUGCCAGUGCAAUCCAUACUGGUUGUUCUCCUUGGCUACCCCACAUCUGAGUCUCUGCCUUGUCUGCAUUCUUCCCCACUUUAUGAAGAGAUGAGUCAGUGCCUGAUUUUUUCUGCCUCUCUUGUCACUAGGGCACAGCCAUGUGCAUGGGCCCUGUCACUCAGAAGCCCCCAUCCACCAACAACAUGGCUCUGGGGGCCUCCUCUCUCUGGAAGAAUUGGCAGUUUUAGCAAGAAAGGUUUUCAGAGGCAGCAAUGAUGGUGGAGAUGUCCAGGGCCAGUGGCAGGUCAAACCAUUCUCUGUGUCAUUUGGGGCAGUGUUUAUGCUGUCCCUCAUUUUGGUUCCCUAAGCCUCCGAACAUGUACGUGAAUUUCCGAAUAUUCUCAAUUAAAUUGUUUUUCUGUUGAAAUUGGCCUGGUUGCUUUCAACUAUGACAAACCUAGCUAUAUAAGUAUUAUUUUGUAGUGUUGGGAUUGAUAGAACUUUAUGUUCUACACAUUAGCAGAAUACCAUGUGUAUUUUUCCAUUUGACAUAAUCUUUUAUCUUUCCAUUGAUAAGUAUUAUUACUAUUUAGUGAUAUAUUAUUUGAGUUCUCUUGCCCCUUUUGGGUAGCCCAUGUUAACAGUAAUACCCAGCUGCUACACUGAGAGCCUCUGAGACUUACUGGCUUCAGGGGAGACAGCACAUUAUCAGCUGUGGUGGCCAUGGCCGAGACUCCUUUUGCCUGAGAAAAGCAGAGGAAAAUGUAGAAGGGACUUCGUCUUGCAUCUGAGACACCAGCACAGCCACAGGGUGGUAGAGCACCAAGGGGGCUUUUGGAAUCUUUGAUUCUGGGAUGUGGCUCUUGGAAGGCAUUUCUGGACUUGCCCUGGGCCAGGGGGAGCCCACUGUCUUAAAGGGUGAGUCCCAGGCCAGGCAGCAUUUGCCACAGUCGACUGAAGAGCCCUGGGGGCCUUCAAGGGACAUAGAAGGUAAUCUGAAAGUACUCCGCAUAGGCCUGUGGGGUGGUGGCCAUGGGGCAAGGCUGCCCUGCCUCUGGAAAGGGUAGGAGAGAGUGAGAAAGACUGCAUCCUGUUGUCCGAGUGCCAGCUCAGCCACAGUACAAUAGAACACCAGCUAGGCUCCCAGCCAGCACCUCUGGACCAGCCUGGAAACUGGGGGUAACUCAUCGCCCUGAAGGGAAGGACAAAGGCCUGGCUGGCUUUGCCGUCUGCUGAUUGUUGAGCCCUAGGCGGGGAGCGGUUACAGUCGGCCUUGGGUGAGACUCAGAGCUGCACUGGCUUCAGGUCUGACUCAGCACAGUCACAGUGAUGGUGGCCACAGGGGUGCUUAUGUCACUCUAUCCCAGCUUUAGGUGGCUCAGAACAGACACACUCCAUUUCUUUGGGAGAAAGUAAGAAAGAGAACAAGAGUCUCUCUGAUAAUCCAGAGAGUUCUCCCAGAUCUUGUCCAAGAUCAUCAAGGCAAUACCACUGAGUCUGCAAAAACUGCAGUGUUACUGGGCUUGGGGUGCCCCCUAAAACAGAUACAACUUAGAUCACAACACCCAUGGCCUUUUAAAUAUGUGAAAAGCCUUCCCAAGAAGGACGGGUACAAACAAGCCCAGAUAGCAAAGGCUACAAUAAAUACCUAACUCUUCAAUUCCAGACACAAAUGGACACCUACAAGUAUCAAGACAUUCCAGGAAAAAAAUGACCUCACCAAAUGAACUAAAUAAAGCAUCAGGGACCCAUCCUGAAGAAACAGAUACGUGACCUUUUAGACAGAGAAUACAAAAUAGCCACUCUGAGGAAACUCAAAGAAAUUCAAGAUAACACAGAGAAGGAAUUCAGAAUUCUAUCAGAUAAAUUUAACAAAGAGAUUGAAAUCAUUCAAAAUGAUCAAACAGAUACUGUGGAGAUAAAAAAUGGAAUUGGCAUACUAAAGAAUGCAUCAGAGUCUUAAUAAUAGAAUUAAUCAAGUAGAAGAAAGAAUUAGCUUGAAGACAGGCUAUUUCAAAAUACACAGUUAGAGGACUCAAAAGAAAAUAGAAUAAAAAAUAAUGAAGCAUGUCAAAGAAUCUAGAAAAUAGCCUCAAAAGGACAAAUCUAAGAGUUAUUGGCCUUAAAGGGGAGACAAAGAAAGAGAUAAGGGUAGAAUGUUUAUUCAAAGGGAUAAUAACAGAGACUUUUCGAAACCCGGAUAAUAAUAUCAAUAUCCAAGUACAAGAAAACAGAACACCAAGCAGAUUAAAUCCAAAGAAGACUGCCUCAAGGCAUUUAAUAAUCAAAUUCUAAAGAUCAAGGGUAAAGAAAGGAUCCUAAAAGUAACAAGGGAGAAGAAACAGAUAACAUACAAUGGAUCUCCAGUAUGUCUUGCAGUGGACUUUUCAGUGGAAACCUUAAAGUCCAGGAGAGAGUGGCACAACACAUUUAAAGUGCUGAAAGAAAGAAACUUUUACCCUAGAAUAGUAUAUCCAGCAAAAAUAUUCUUCUAACAUGAAGAAAAAAUAAAGACUUUCCCAGGCAAACAAAAGCUGAGGGAUUUUAUCAGCACUAGACCUGUCUUAUGAGAAAUGCCAAAGGGAGUACUUCAAUCAGAAAGAAAAGGAUGUUAGUAAGUAAUCAUGCGAAAGUACAAAAUUCAUGGGUAAUAGUAAGCACACAGAAAAACACAGAAUUUUAUAUCCCUGUAACUGUGAUGUGUAAACUACUAUUAUUCUAAGUAGAAAAACUAAAUGAUGAACCAAUCAAAAAUAAUAACUAUAACAAUUUUUCAAGCCAUAGACAGUACUAUAAGAUAUAAAUAGAAACAACAAAAAGUUUAAAAUCAGGACAAAGUUAAGACGUAGAGUUUUUAUUAGUUUCCUUUUUUUUUGCUUCUUUGUUUCUUUGUUUAUGCAAACAAUGUUAAGUUGUUAUCAGCUUAAAGUAACAGGUCAUAAAGAAGCCAGUCAUGGUGUCUCACACUUGUAAUGCCAGCACUUUGAGAGUCCAAGGUGGGUGGAUCACUUGAGGUCAGAAGUUUGAGACCAGCCUGGCCAAUAUGGCGAAACCCCAUCGCUACUAAAAAUACAAAAAUUAGCCAGGUAUGGUGGCACAUGCCUGUAAUCCCAGCUACUCAGGAGGCUGAGGCAUGAGAACCCAGAAUGUGGAGGUUGAAGUAAGCCAAGAUCACACCACUGUACUCCAGCUUGGAUGACAGAGCAAGACUCUGUUUCAGAAGGAAAAAAAAAAGUCAUAAGAUAGUAUUUGCAAGCCUCAUAGUGACCUCAAACCAUAAAAACAUACAAUGAAUACACAAAAAGUAAAAAGCUAGAAACUAAAUCAUAUUACUAGAGAAAAAUCACUUUCACUAAAGGAAGGAAAGAAAGAAGGCAGAGAACAUCACAGAACAACUAGAAAACAAGUUAACACAAUGGCGGGAGUAAGUUCUUACUUAUCAAUAUUAACAUUGAUUGUAAAUAAGAACACCAAUAAAAUGAAAGAUUACAUCAAGUUAAAAAGUUAAAAAGCUUCUGCACAGCAAAGGAAACAGUCAAUAAAGUGGUAACCCCGCAGAGUGGGCAAAAAAUAUUUGCAAACUACCCAUGUGACAAGGGAUUAAUAACCAGAAUAUAUAAGGAGCUCAAACAACUCUAGAGAAAAACAAAUCUAAUAAUCUGAUCAAAAAAUAGGCAAGAUAUUUGAAUAGACAUUUCUCAAAAAAGACAUACAAAUGGCAAACAGUCAUAUGAAAAGGUGCUCAACAUCAUUGAUCAUCAGAACAAUGCAAAUAAAAACUACAAUGAAAUGUCAUCUCAUCCCUGUUAAAAUCGAUUGUAUCCAAAAGACAGGCAAAAACAAAUGCUGGUGAAAUGUGGAGAAAAGGGAACCCUCAUACACUGUUGGUGGGAAUGUAAGUUAGCCCAACCACUAUGAAUAGUGGUUUGAAGGUUCCUCAAAAAGCUAAAUAUGGAGCUACCAUAUGGUUCAGCCAUCCCACUGCUGGGUAUAGACCCAAAAGAAAGGAAAUCAGUAUAUUGAAGAGAUGUCUGCACUCCCGUGUUUGUUUCAGCACUGUUCACAGUAGCAAAGAUUUUGAAACAACCCAAGUGUCCCUCAAUAGAUGAAUAGAUAAACGAAAUGUGGUGCUUUUACACAAUGGAGUACUGUUCAGCCAUAAAAAUGAAUGAGAUCCUGUUCUUUACAACAACAUGGGUGGAAAUGAAGAUCAUUAUAUUAAGUGAUAUAAGCCAGACACAGAAAGACAAACAUUACAUCUUCUCAUGUACUUAUGGGAUCUGAAGAUCAAAAUAAUUGAACUCCAUGGACAUAGAGAGUAGAAGAAUGGUUACCAUAGGCUGGGAUUAGUAGUGGGACAGGUGGGGCAGGGGGCAGGUUAGGACAGGUAAUAGGUACAAAAAUAAUAGGAAGAAUGAAUAAGACCUACUAUUUGUUAGCAUAAAAUGGUACUUGUAAUCAAUUACACUUAAUUAUAUGUUUUAAAAUAACUCAAAGAGUAUAAUUGGAUUCUUUGUAACACAAAGAAUAAAUGUUUGAGGAGAUGGAUACCCUAUUCAGCAUGAUGUGUUAUUAUGCAUUGCAGGCCUGUAUCAAAGCAUUUCAAGUACGCUAUAGAUAUAUACACCUACUAUGUACUCACAAAAAUUAACAAAUUAAAAAAUUAAAGAAAACAGAGUGAGAAUGGGAUGGUGAGCAGGUGGUAUAAGGUAUAUGAUAUUGGUGUUCAGACUGUUAUCCAAAACCCUAAGAAUAGGCCAGGUGCGGUGGCUCACACCUGUAAUCCCAGCACUUUGCGAGGCUGAGGCGGGUAGAUCAUGUGGUGAGGAGUUCAAGACCAGCCUGGCCAAGAUGGUAAAACCCUGUCUCUAGUAAAAAUACAAAAAUUAGCCAGGCAUGGUGGUGGGCGCCUGUAAUCCCAGCUACUUAGGAGGCUGAGGCAGAGAAUUGCUUGAACCCAGGAGGCAGAGGUUGCAGUGAGCUGAGAUCAUGCCACUGCACUCCAGCCUGGGCAACAGAGCGAGACUCUGUCUCAAAAAAAAAAGGCAAAAAAAACAAAA
rnacentral:lncRNA from 1 species